AUGGGGUUCCGGCCGCCGUGCCGGUCCGAGUGCGUCCUGUGCGUCGGCGUCCUUGGGUCGCCGCCGGAGAUGGACACCACCGCGUACACGCGCAUCUUGGAGAACAUCGUCACCUUCUUCAGGUCCUUGGCCGAGAUCAGCGUCACCUCCAGCACCCGGUACGCCAUGAUCGCGCCGCUCGCUCGCAGGAGCCCGUUGUGA
rnacentral:rRNA from 1 species